GGUAAACCGGUGACUUUUUUGGCUGUUUACCAAAAACAUAGUUAUUUUUUUAAAUAAUGGGACCUGGUAAGUGACUAAUAAUAAAAUAUUUUAUUAAAAUUAGUAAAACACACGCCUUAGCGUGAGGGUGAUAAAGUAGCAUAAUAAAUUGGCAUUUAAUGGAUGUCUGGUAUGAAUGGUGAAACAAUUUUAACAUUGUCUCAAUAAUAAAAUAAUAGAAAUUAAAUUAUAAAUGAAUAUUUUUAAAAAAAUUCGUUAGACGAUAAGACCCCAUAAACCUUUACUAGAAAUAAGAGUAAUUUUUAUUUGAUAGUUUGAUUGGGGCGAUCAUUUUUUUUUUUAACAAAAAUAUAUAAAAAAAAAAUAAUAAUUAUUUAUCAUAUACUUUAUUUAAUAAGGAAAUCAAGUAAAAAAAUUAAUUAAGACCAUAUUUUUUUAUAUAAAAAAAUAUACAUUUGAUAAAAGGUACUUUGGGGAUAACAGCGUUACAAUAAUUAUUAGAAGAUAUAAUAAUUAAAAAUGUACGACCUCGAUGUUGAAUUAAAAUUUCCUUUUGAUGCAGGAGUUAAAAGGGGUUGGACUGUCCUUCCAUUAAUAAUCUUACAUGAUUUGAGUUC
rnacentral:rRNA from 1 species